AAUUCGAUUAGUUUGAUCCUGGCUCAGGAUGAACGCUAGCGGCAGGCCUAAUACAUGCAAGUCAAGGGGCUCAGCAAUGAGCACCGGCGCACGGGUGCGUAACGCGUACGCAACAUGCCCCUGGGUUAGGGAUAGCAUCGGGAAACUGGUGGUAAUACCUCAUGGUAUCAGAGGACGGCAUCGCCUUUUGAUUAAAGGUUACGCCCAGGGAUUGGUGUGCGUCUGAUUAGCUAGUUGGCGGGGUAACGGCCCACCAAGGCGACGAUCAGUAGGGGGUGUGAGAGCAUGGCCCCCCACACGGGUACUGAGACACGGACCCGACUCCUACGGGAGGCAGCAGUAAGGAAUAUUGGACAAUGGGCGAAAGCCUGAUCCAGCCAUGCCGCGUGCAGGAUGAAGGCGCUCAGCGUUGUAAACUGCUUUUGGACGGGAACAAAUCACUUUACGUGUAGAGUGUUGAGGGUACUGUCAGAAUAAGCACCGGCUAACUCCGUGCCAGCAGCCGCGGUAAUACGGAGGGUGCAAGCGUUAUCCGGAAUCACUGGGUUUAAAGGGUGCGUAGGCGGUCUGAUAAGUCAGUUGUGAAAUCGCUGGGCUUAACCCAUGCAAUUGCGAUUGAUACUGUUAGACUUGAAACAGGUUGAGGUAAGCGGAAUGUGGCAUGUAGCG
rnacentral:rRNA from 1 species